rnacentral:lncRNA from 1 species
AUGCUUCUUUCAGUAUUAGAAAAUAUGGUGAUGGUGCAGUCUGUCAGGUGCUCUGUUAAGACUAUGGCACGUACCUUUGUGCUUUGCUGUUUUAUUUCUCUUCUGUCUUCCAUUUUAUGCCUUCCUCACCCAGGCUCCAUUUAUCGCUGUUGUGGAGGCACACCUCUUCUGACAGAUAAAUACACAGCAGUGGCACUGAAAGGCAAUUCUGGAAAGGUGACCUAAUUGGUCUGGCGGGUAGAGGGGGAGGAGGAGGAGGAAGAAAAGGAAGGUGACAAUGACUUGGCCUGAGUUUCUCCACUGCCAGAAGCAGCAGCGCUCCUAUUAUGAUUGAUCCUAUUUGAGAUGCUCAAGAGAAAUGAGCAGUAUAUGUGAUUCCACACUUUCUUCAUUGUCCAGCUGAGAGGAGAGGAGGAAAGGGAAUGGCUGUGUGAGGGGGAAUUCAUUUGCACAUCUACUCAAAAUGCUUUGUGCUGAGGUAAAGAUGAUUCGGAGGACAUGAACUGCUGCAGCAUACAGAUGUGUUUGUUUAGUUAAUUGAGUUGUCAUGGCAACUACUUCAUCUUAACUGCCACAGUGUAUAGGUUGUCACUGGCACCUGAUGACUCUAAACAAACCAUUAUACUUUCAACAAAAUCAGGGAACUGUUUGGCUGGGUUACAAGUUAAAGAAUGUCAUUUUGAUGCCCCCCAGAACGCACAAAAUCUAACUUACUUUUUAAGAGCAAGUCACCACAGCUUUGCACUGGUAGCAUUUUUCUGGCUCAUCCAGAAGAGCUCCCACAUCAUCUGGUAACUCGGGAAAUAUGAAAUGACACAGUUGUCCAAAACCUACAAAAUAAGUCAAUCUUAAGAGAAUGAUGGUGCUCGGAUGAAUCUCUCUAUACAUAGAAUAGCAGGGUGAAAUAUGUUGAAAUCUAAAGAAAACAUAGAACAGUUUGAAAUUGAGUCAAGACCUGAAUUUCUGGUGGAGGACCAGCCCUGGCUGAGUGGUGUUCUAUCACAGCCCUCUGCUUCCUCUGUUAGCUGGAAGCAGGAAAGGGGAAAAUAGCUCACAGCAGGAAUCUCACACCUUUGCUUGUGCUCAGCUUGGCGCACAGACUGACGGUUAUUUAAGAGAAGUGAGGGCUGUGGUGCCCCAUGGGAAAUGAAUAGGUAUGGGAAAGAGAUCGUUG